rnacentral:rRNA from 1 species
UACGUAUGGUGCAAGCGUUAUCCGGAUUUACUGGGUGUAAAGGGAGUGUAGGCGGCUCAUCAAGUUAGAUGUGAAAUCCCGCGGCUUAACCGCGGAACUGCAUCUAAAACUGGUAAGCUGGAGUGCAGGAGAGGUGAGUGGAAUUCCUAGUGUAGCGGUGGAAUGCGUAGAUAUUAGGAGGAACACCAGUGGCGAAGGCGGCUUACUGGACUGUAACUGACGCUGAGGCUCGAAAGCGUGGGGAGCAAACAGG